GUGUUGUGACUGGGGAGAAGGGGGGGCUCCAGUCAGCUGGGCGCGCUGCGGGGAGCGGGAGCUGCAGCGGCGCAGAGUCAGCCCCGGCCGCCGCCAUGCCCGGCAUCGACAAGCUGCCCAUCGAGGAGACGCUGGAAGACAGUCCCCAGACCCGGUCUUUGCUGGGAGUAUUUGAAGAAGAUGCUGCUGCAAUUUCCAAUUACAUCAACCAGUUAUUUCAAGCCAUGCACAGAAUAUAUGAUGCACAGAAUGAAUUAAGUGCAGCAACUCAUCUGACUUCAAAGCUUCUGAAGGAAUAUGAGAAACAGCGUUUUCCACUAGGGGGAGAUGAUGAAGUUAUGACUUCCACUCUACAGCAAUUUGCAAAAGUGAUAGAUGAGCUCAGCUCUUGCCAUGCAGUACUUUCAACUCAACUUGCAGAUGCAAUGAUGUUUCCUAUUACCCAGUUUAAAGAAAGGGAUCUAAAAGAGAUAUUAACUCUUAAAGAAGUUUUCCAAAUUGCAAGCAAUGACCAUGAUGCUGCCAUUACCAGAUACAGUCGGUUGUCAAAAAGAAGGGAAAAUGAAAAGAUCAAGGCUGAAGUUACAGAAGAUGUAUAUACUUCCAGGAAAAAACAGCAUCAGACUAUGAUGCAUUAUUUCUGUGCAUUAAAUACUCUUCAGUACAAAAAGAAAAUUGCUAUGCUAGAACCCUUGCUAGGAUACAUGCAAGCUCAGAUAAGUUUUUUUAAAAUGGGUUCAGAAAAUCUUACUGAGCAAUUGGAAGAAUUUUUGACCAAUAUUGGCACAAGCGUACAGAAUGUUCGCAGGGAAAUGGAGUGUGAAGGAGAAAACAUGCAACAAACUAUAGAGGACUUGGAAGUAGCUAGCGAUCCACUUUAUUUGCCUGAUCCUGAUACUACAAAAUUUCCUGUUCAUAGAAACCUAACACGGAAAGCUGGCUAUCUCAAUGCAAGAAAUAAGACAGGGCUGGUAUCUUCCAGUUGGGAGAGACAGUUUUACUUCACUCAAGGUGGAAAUUUGAUGAGCCAGGCAAGAGGGGAUGUCGCUGGGGGGCUUGUCAUGGACAUAGACAAUUGUUCUGUAAUGGCUGUGGACUGCGAAGACAGACGGUACUGUUUUCAGAUAACAUCUUUUGAUGGUAAAAAGUCGUCAAUCUUACAGGCAGAGAGUAAAAAAGAUUAUGAAGAGUGGAUAUGCACCAUAAACAACAUAUCUAAACAGAUAUAUCUAAGUGAAAACCCUGAGGAAAUUGCUGCACGCGUAAAUCAGUCAGCUCUGGAGGCUGUUACUCCAUCUCCUUCCUUUCAGCAGAGGCAUGAGAGUAUGCGGCCAACUGUACAAUCUCGUCCCCCUGCAGCUCGUACCAGCAGCACAGGGUCACUGGGAUCUGAAUCAGCAGCUUUAUCGGCACUUUCUUUGGAUUCACUCGUCGCCCCUGACACUCCUAUCCAAUUUGACAUAAUUUCUCCAGUUAGCGAAGAUCUGCCUGGUCAAGCAAAAUCUUCAGGGCAGUCGGGCAGACGCACAAAUCCUUUUGGUGAAUCUGGAGGCUCAAAAUCUGAAACAGAAGAUUCAAUUCUUCAUCAGCUGUUUAUCGUAAGAUUUCUUGGCUCUAUGGAGGUGAAGUCUGAUGAAAGCCCAGAUGUCGUUUAUGAAACAAUGCGUCAAAUACUAGCAGCUCGUGCCAUCCAUAACAUUUUCAGGAUGACAGAAUCACAUUUAUUAGUCACUUGUGACUGUUUAAAGUUAAUUGAUCCACAGACACAAGUUACGAGACUACGAUUUCCUUUGCCCAAUGUAGUCUUGUAUGCUACACACCAGGAGAAUAAGCGCCUUUUUGGAUUUGUGCUUAGAACUUCAGGAGGGAGAGUCGAGAGCCGCCAAACUUCCAUCUGCUAUAUAUUUGAAUCAAACAAUGAAGGGGAAAAGAUUUGUGACUCUGUUGGACUGGCAAAACAGAUAGCUUUUCAUGCAGAACUGGAUCGAAAAGCAUCAGAAAAGCAAAAAGAAAUAGAUAGAGUCAAAGAGAAACAACAGAAAGAACUGAAUAAACAAAAACAAAUUGAAAAGGACUUAGAGGAGCAAAGCCGGUUGAUAGCUGCUUCCAGCAGGUCGAACCAGAGCAGCGGAGAAGGACAAUUUGUAGUCCUUAGCAGCAGCCAGUCGGAAGACAGUGACUUAGGAGAAGAUGGAAAGAAGAAGAGAGAAUCCGAAGCCUAAGGUUGCCUACUUCAUUAAAAUUGGAACCUUGGAUAUAUCUGUUGAAAUGGCACAAGUUCUACAAGAAGUGAAAUACUGAUCUUUCAAGCACUUCCAACUGAAGCUGCAGUUUGCUUCAUGGGCAUCUACUAUUAUUUCAGACACUCCUGAAAAUAAUCUUUCAAGUACACGAUUUUAAAGUGACUUUGCAUAGGUACUGGAUCAGCAGUGGUGUCAGGACUAACUUUUUAUGUUGCUAAUUGUAACCUCAUAGUUACCACCUCAUUUUUCCCCUUAGGUAAGGGGAUAUUAAGUUUGUUAUGCUAUCUAGAUUUACACACUGCAGACCAAGCAGGUUUUCCUGGCAGUUGUUUCAAGCUACAUACGUUCUUUAUGUAUGUAAUGUCAUGAGCAUCAAAUACAAAUGUGCUUAUGGGUAUGCAUUUUAGUGCAUUGUAGAUAAUACCUAGCACUCCUCUGUGGCCACUAACAGAUUUCUCCACGUUUAAAUCAGAGGACAAGUUAAGAGUCAUAAGCAACUUAUCCUUAUAUAACUGGUUACAGGCAGGUAGUGUAAACUAAUUUGAAUGUGAUAGUCUAUUACUUCCUUCAUCUGUUUAGGAUUGAAAUUGUAUCAAGACAACGUACUAUCUAACAGUAAAGUAACGAUUAAGAGUUAAGGAACAUUCCCCCUCUACAGUGCUGUCAGAUUUCAUCUUUAUAUCGAUGUAAACCCAGAGCUGAAAAUCCUGAAACAGCUGAAGGUAUUUAUGAAGAUAUAAUUUAUGUACGUUGAUAUAAAGAAGCAAAUUUGACUGUGCAUAUGUUUCAGGUAAAUUAUGAAGAAUUAGUUGCACAGAAUUUAGGAGAAGCCAAUGGAGAAAACUGUGUUAUGAGACAGUCUCUUGUUAUUUUGGAAAUAAUUCACAUAAGUGAAACCUGCCUCUGCUCAGUGAAUUUAGUACAGAUAUAGUCUAGUCUAACGGCAAGAGCUGAUAUUUUAUAUUCUUUCUGUUGCUCUAUUUCACAAAAUUUCUUGCAAGCCAGUUAGGCUCCAAGGCUCUUCUUUUUAACCAAGCAGUAAGUUGAUUUGUAUUUUCCUGCCAUAGCGGUAUCUCAGUUGUCAUGACAAGAAUAAGUCAGUGUGUCAUUGUGAAUGCACUUGUAUUCCUGAUGAAGUUUAUAUUGCAAGCCAAGGAUUUUGUACAAUCUUUCAGGUCAUUUUUAUAAUGGAGUGGAGUGGUCAAAUUCUUAUGAUGAUGUUCUGGACUGGUCCUGUUCUAGUGAAGUGUAAGUGAUUUUUGCAAUGUUUGAGACUGACUUGCACAUUUUCCCUGAAUAGCUGUAUUAAAAACCUCCGAUGGCAUACUUCAGCUUCGAUUGUUGUGUCUUAAUCUUGGAAACUUGGAUAGUGAACAUAUUGUGACAGGGCUUCAGUCAGCAUUUUGUAGAUUAAAUAAAAGCUUAACUAUAAUAACUUUCUGGGUGGGAUUUGUACUGAUGCAAAAACCUCCUGUGUUUUUCAUAAUACUGACUUCCAGGAAGUACCAUUUACUGGUGACAGGAUGCAUUGCCUUCCAUUAAACAAAGUUUUCACGUUGAGUUCUAUCCCUCUGUUGUCAAACUGUAUUGCAAUUCUCUUAAUUGUAAUCAUGUUAGCCAGAUAACCUCAGAGGAAGUUAUUGUACUUGGGAAUGCCGAUCAACAAUCAAAGACCGGUAGAAGAUGAUCCUUCCCAUGGUAGCUGGCUGUUUGGUGCCCAUGUUUUAGCCCCAUGAGAAGGUGCAGCACUCUGCAGAGCUGUGGUUAUGGUAACGAUCAGAAUUCGCGUACCAGCACAACUGUUAACAUGGGUACUGAUACAUCUCUUCACAGGCUUCAUUCGUCUAUUAUAUGAUAAACACCAUGUAAAAAGCAAUGGGUCAUAACUACAGUAUGGUUAAAUUUGUAUUUUAUAAGGUUUGUAGAUUUUUCUGGGGAAAAGCAGACUUUUGAAUUAUGUAACUUCUGUGAUAAAGAUGCAUGUAUAACUAGAAAAAAAUAUCUAUGCUUAACUGAUAAUGAAGGAAUAAAUACUACUAAUGCCAA